CUCUCUCACAGGGCUGUUUGAUUGCUUAAGCCUGGCCGUCAGACAGACAGACAAUGCGUCUAUGAAGAAUAGCCUCGCUUCCUUCCUGUCUUCCUGUGCUGCGUUCUGCCUUGGUGAGCAGGGUGAAUAGGCCUCUCUGCCCCGCAGCCGCCAUGAGCCGCAGGGGCCACGGCGGCUAAAACCAACAAAGAGAGCUGUUCUGGGGCCUUUUUUUCCUUUCUUUUUUUUUCUUCUAUUCACAUCCCCUCCUCCCCUUGCUACUCUCUGCUGCCAAAUCACUGGGACUGCCGGCCGGGUGUACUAAAGCUAUCCAGCUAAAAAAUCCAAGGGCCUGCGUGCUUCAAGAACGAGGUGUGCCAUGUUUUUGCCAGUGAGUAUUUUGCUCACAGAUGAGACGUAGACUUGAGAGACCAAAGUUGUAGCAAUAAAACACUGUUAUUGAUCAGUGUGAUGAGAAAUGAGUUUUAAGUGAAGAAAUUAACUUUUUUUCCCAUUAGCACAUGUAAAUAUGUCUUAGUAUGCUUUAUAACUGCAUGUCUCAAUAGAUAUAUUUUCUUCAACACAUUCAACUGACACCCCCCCCCCCCCCCCAACAAGACAACCAUCUCCCUAUGGGAAUACCAAGUAGGAGCAGGUAGCUGAGAGGAGCGUUAGGGAGCCAAAAUGACCCCCUGACUAUUGAAAACAGGAUGAAUGCAUGCCGGGCUGAAUACGGGGGUAAACUGUUAGGUCUUUGUCAUUUAAAGUGAUGCUUUUAACCCUUUGCUGUCCCUCUUCCUAACAACCCACCCUCCUCGUCCUCCUCCACACCCACCCUUUCCCUCUUCAUUCACAGCUGAGACAAUGGAGGGAGAGAGGAGGCAUGCGACUGGAAAGAUGAAGAUUAAACACAAGAUCAACUCUCCCUUUUCUGUCUCUAAUGGGACUCUGCCCGUUAUGUUUCCACCUCCUCCACCGAUUCUGUAAAAUAGGUGAAAGUUGAUAAUUAUGUAAAACAACCCCCACCCCCCGUCAGUCAAAGGCUGGGGAUGAAUAACAAACAAGUGAGCGCAGGUUGGGCCUCUGCGUGUCAAUCACGGCUCUGAAUGCAUACCGUGCCGCAAACACGUCCGUAUGCUGUCAACAAGUGUCAGGGGCUUAUGUUUCAGGCUUAUGUUUCGCCUGCAGGGACAUUCAAAACCAAGGAAUUCCUGAACAAAUCUUUGAUAAAAAA